UUCACAUCAAUUUUUUUUAAAGAAAUUAUAAAUAUAAAACUCGAUUUGGUAAAAACUGAGUUCUAUUCUUAAAUGUUAAAAAAGAAAUUUACAAUUCGGUAUGAUUCAAAUCAAGUUUUAAAUUUAUCGUAUUUAGAGAAAUAUUAUUAAAAGUAUAAUAUUGUGGUGAAUAAUUUUUUUUAGUACCGUGGUCAAAUUGCCUCCAAAAUUCCUUCAAUGCUAAACGGAAAUAAAUCAUUGCAAGAAAAAGUUAGGAAAGUGAAUUCUUCUUUAGAAGACAUGAUAUCUUGAAGCACGGUGUACCUUUGAGCUUGCAUGAAACUAAUCCCGCUGUCGCAGAAACGAAGCUGGCUUGGGGUUGUUUUUUAAAACACAUGACUUCGAGAGGGAGCUUGGGAUAGCCACAGGAUUCUGCAAAUUUUGAUAUCCAGAAAAUUGCAUGUCCGAUGCAGAUCAAGACUUGAGGAGUGUGUUUUGAUUUUCUGAUGCUCCAACCAAGCUGAAAAUUUUGGAGUGAAGGAUUCCAAGCUUGAGCCCGGUUUGCUAUUCUCGGAUUACGCGAGGAGCAAAUUGAAGGUGAGUAAAUGACUUCCAGGUAUCGAGUCAUCCAAAAAAAUUCCUUGAUGAUCUGAUCUGUUGUAAAUUUUCCUUUUUGAUGAACCACUUGAUUUCCUUUCCACCAUAUUAGAUUUCAACACGGUGAUGAUAUUGUUAGCCCAUUUGGAUUCCCCAUCAUUGAGUAGAGUAGAAAGGAAAUCUAUCAUCCGUUCUUGUCUUCUAGAAGAUGAUGGAAAGUCUGAUGAACUGAUUCCUAGCUCUCCAAACCAAAUGCUUCUUGUAAACGAACUAGUGAAGAAUAACUGAGUUAGGAAUUCAGGUUGAUCACACCCAAAUUGACAUAGGGCAUUGACAUGCGGGUGAUGAUGAUUUAGAGUCUCUCCGAUGGGCAGGCAAUCAUUGAUGAUUUUCCACCCCAAUAAAAUAUAUCUGAAUGGAAUUUUGGUCUGCCGACAAAAUUUUCAUAAAUUUUGUCUGUGAUUACCUCUUGAAACUAGCUGACCAAGCAGUAAAUAAUACCCCUUUUUUGCAAUGUACACAUCGUAUAUUGCACUAUUCCAGAUGACUUUGUCAUCAGAUCCUCUGAAGGACGGUGGAAUUUUAAGAAAUUGGGAGCUAAUCAUUUCCAUUCCAUUCAAUUGGUUGACAUGGAGUGUUUGUUGUUGUGAUGAGAUCAGAGACGAGAAAUAUAAGCAGUUUGGUCUCUGUUCCAUGACUUAGUCCACCUAAGGUGGUUUGAGAUAGGAAUAUUAUUACCAUUCACAACACAUCAUUUAAGAUUGGAGGUACUGAUGUCAGAACACUCCUAAAUUCCUUUCCAGUACCAAGAGGCAUUAUAAGGCUUCUUCACAAUUUCAGUUUUUGAGAUAUCAAUGUAUUUAAUCUUGAGGGUGCUUGCCAAGAGUGAACCUUCCUCAGCAUUUAUCAGUCUCCAGACUUGUUUUGCUAAAAGAGAUUCAUUUACCUGUUGAAUGGGUCCAAGACGUAGUCCACCUUCAUUAACAGUGGUGAAAAAGAUAUUCCUGUUAACUAGAUGCAUUCUUUUUUUUGUUCCCAUUGAAUACUUCUUCAGCAGUUUUGUAUAAGGAAGUUGAUACACAUUUGCUGCCGAGAGAACUGAUUUCAAAAUGGUAAGUCUUGAAGUUUGUGACAUAA